rnacentral:rRNA from 1 species
UACGUAAGGUCCGAGCGUUGUCCGGAAUCAUUGGGCGUAAAGCGAGCGCAGGCGGUUAGAUAAGUCUGAAGUUAAAGGCUGUGGCUUAACCAUAGUACGCUUUGGAAACUGUUUAACUUGAGUGCAAGAGGGGAGAGUGGAAUUCCAUGUGUAGCGGUGAAAUGCGUAGAUAUAUGGAGGAACACCGGUGGCGAAAGCGGCUCUCUGGCUUGUAACUGACGCUGAGGAACGAAAGCGUGGGUAGCAAACAGG